GACGAACGCUGGCGGCGUGCUUAACACAUGCAAGUCGAACGGUAAGGCCCUUCGGGGUACACGAGUGGCGAACGGGUGAGUAACACGUGGGUGAUCUGCCCUGCACUUCGGGAUAAGCCUGGGAAACUGGGUCUAAUACCGGAUAGGACCACUGCCUGCAUGGGUGGUGGUGGAAAGCUUUUGCGGUGUGGGAUGGGCCCGCGGCCUAUCAGCUUGUUGGUGGGGUGAUGGCCUACCAAGGCGACGACGGGUAGCCGGCCUGAGAGGGUGACCGGCCACACUGGGACUGAGAUACGGCCCAGACUCCUACGGGAGGCAGCAGUGGGGAAUAUUGCACAAUGGGCGCAAGCCUGAUGCAGCGACGCCGCGUGAGGGAUGACGGCCUUCGGGUUGUAAACCUCUUUCAGCACCGACGAAGCGAAAGUGACGGUACCUGCAGAAAAAGCACCGGCUAACUACGUGCCAGCCGCCGCAGUAA
rnacentral:rRNA from 1 species